rfam:Oryza meridionalis cultivar OR44 (W2112) chromosome 11, whole genome shotgun sequence.
UUUUAACGAAACCACGAGUUUCUGUGUCCAACUUUGAUCAUUUGUCUUAUUUAAAAAUUUUAUGAUUAGUAUUUUUAUUGUUAUCAGAUGAUAAAAUAUAAAUAGUAUUUUAUGCAUGACUUCUGUUUUUUAUUUUUUUUCAAAAAAAAAUUCAAAUGAAAUGGACGAUUAAAGUUGGAUACAUAAACUCAUGCUUGCGCUUAAA